AAGAUGCAGAUUUCCAAUGCAUAUGUUUCGGAAUUUUGGCCAUAACUUUCUCUACAGAGCUCUAAAUGAAGCGAUUCUUUGAACUUUAGAAAGAUAAGAGAAAAAGAUACAAUUUUCAUGUUUACUACUUUGACCCAGUUCAGCUUGGAAGAUGGUCAAAAAUCUUGUCAAAAUUGACACAUUGCAAUAGUCCUAAAGCAAUUACGAUUUUUGUUAAUUAAUUGGACAAGGCUGCGACCCACAUAGUCUGAUUGGAAUUGAAUUCUUUCUUCACCCAACUUGGCC
rnacentral:lncRNA from 1 species